GUAGAUAUAGUUUAUAAAAACAUUAGACUGUGACUCUGAAGAUAGAAGUUAUUUACCUUCUUAUUUACC
rnacentral:tRNA from 1 species